GUCGACGCGCGGAUCAGGAGCUUGCUCCUGUGACGCGAGUGGCGGACGGGUGAGUAACACGUAGGCAACCUGCCCAUCAGACCGGGAUAACCACGGGAAACCGUGACUAAUACCGGAUAAUCCUUUUCCUCACAGGAGGGAAAGUUGAAAGGCGGUCUUUUGACUGCCACUGAUGGAUGGGCCUGCGGCGCAUUAGCUAGUUGGUGGGGUAAGGGCCCACCAAGGCGACGAUGCGUAGCCGACCUGAGAGGGUGAUCGGCCACACUGGGACUGAGACACGGCCCAGACUCCUACGGGAGGCAGCAGUAGGGAAUCUUCCGCAAUGGACGAAAGUCUGACGGAGCAACGCCGCGUGAGUGAAGAAGGGUUUCGGCUCGUAAAACUCUGUUGUCAGGGAAGAACGUCCCCGUGAGUAACUGCACGGGGAGUGACGGUACCUGACCAGAAAGCCACGGCUAACUACGUGCCAGCAGCCGCGGUAAUACGUAGGUGGCAAGCGUUAUCCGGAAUUAUUGGGCGUAAAGCGCGCGUAGGCGGUCUGUUAAGUCUGAUGUGAAAGCCCCCGGCUCAACCGGGGAGGGUCAUUGGAAACUGGCAGACUUGAGUGCAGAAGAGGAGAGUGGAAUUCCAUGUGUAGCGGUGAAAUGCGCAGAGAUAUGGAGGAACACCAGUGGCGAAGGCGGCUCUCUGGUCUGUAACUGACGCUGAGGUGCGAAAGCGUGGGGAUCAAACAGGAUUAGAUACCCUGGUAGUCCACGCCGUAAACGAUGAGUGCUAAG
rnacentral:rRNA from 1 species